UACAGUAUGAUGUAAGGGCAUGUAAAGUUUUGAAAUUUAAAGAAAGGGUUGAAUUCCCUUUAUUGUAA
rnacentral:tRNA from 1 species